GUUUGGUGCCAUGACUUGAAGAGGACUAGAAGCUCACUUCCUGACCACCUCCUCCACCCGGGUACCGAGGCCUCCAGCCCACUGUGUUCCUCCCUGACUGGUGAUUCGGGGAUCUGGACAUGCAAAGUUUCAUAAAAUGUACCUGUCAUGCAUCCAUUUGCAAGGAUGUGCUCCCCACAAAAUGAAGGGGUAAGCCAAGGAAGAUGAAGACACAAGCUCCAGGAAACAGAUCUGACCCAAGAGAGAAGUCAAGGGGAUUUCCUGGGAGAUGGUGAAGGGAAGACACCAAGGCACUGCCAUGUUCCCCUGGCUGGGGAGCGUCCUCGUUAGCUGGCAUGUUCCCGACGGACUUGGACUUCAGCCCUGGGGCUUUCUUGCUGACAACUUUAUAAUUCCAGUGGGAUCGGUGGACUCAACAGGGACUGCUGGGGUCAGAAGGAAGAUCCUGCAGCUUUCACUGUGAGAUCUGGCCCAGGGACUCCGCAGAGACUCCAAGAACUCUGGAAAGACAGUGUCCAUAUGAUCAGAGGCAGAUAGCACUUACUACACAGACAUCUCCUGGGGGAACCAAAGUACAGUUCACUGCACUGGAUACUGUGAAGUAGAUAAAGUCCAAGAAACACAUAUUCUGCUUAUCAAUUAAAAUAGAAUAUGAGCAAGAGCGUGAGAUUUGGACUAAAAUUAAUAAAGGUUUAAAUUCUAGCUCUGCCAACUUUUAGCUAUGAGAACAUGAAAAAGCUGCUUCAGGUUUAUUUUUCAAAAUGAAUUUGAAAUAUUUAUCUCAAGUGGUUAUGAAAAUUAGAUGAGAUUAUGUUUCAAUGGUACUUAGCGCUGAACUGGCCCCAGGUAAACACUUAAUACAUGUUACCAAGUAUUGUUAUAAGGAAGCAUGUAAUAGUAGGUAAUUUACACAACAAUCCUUUCAUCUGUGUGUUGUUAUAAUCAUUAUUAUUUCAUUUUAUGCACACAGAAUUAGAGGUUUAGUGGUGUUAAGUCAAACCCAGUCUACCAAGGCUCCAAA
rnacentral:lncRNA from 1 species